UACGUAGGGUGCAAGCGUUGUCCGGAAUUAUUGGGCGUAAAGAGCUCGUAGGCGGUUUGUCGCGUCUGCUGUGAAAACCCGAGGCUCAACCUCGGGCCUGCAGUGGGUACGGGCAGACUAGAGUGCGGUAGGGGAGAAUGGAAUUCCUGGUGUAGCGGUGAAAUGCGCAGAUAUCAGGAGGAACACCGGUGGCGAAGGCGGGUCUCUGGGCCGAUACUGACGCUGAGAAGCGAAAGCAUGGGGAGCGAACAGG
rnacentral:rRNA from 1 species